rnacentral:rRNA from 1 species
UACGGGGGGGCAAGCGUUGUUCGGAAUUACUGAGCGUAAGGCUCGUAGGCGGCCAACUAAGUCAGACGUGAAAUCCCCAGGCUCAACCUGGGAACUGCGUCUGAUACUGGAUGGCUUGAAUCCGGGAGAGGGAUGCAGAAUUCCAGGUGUAGCGGUGAAAUGCGUAGAUAUCUGGAGGAACACCGGUGGCGAAGGCGGCAUCCUGGACCGGUAUUGACGCUGAGGAGCGAAAGCCAGGGGAGCAACGGG